GGUUAGGGUUAGCGUUAGGGUUAGGGAACAGGGACGGUUUAGGAUACAGGUUAGGAUAUGACAAUGGUUUAGGUUUAGCGUAUGUGUUAGGGUAUGAGUUAGUGUUAGCAUAUGGGUUAGGAUUCGGGGACGGGUUAGAGUAAGGCUUUGGUUACGGGUUAGUGUUAGUGUAUGGGUUAGGAUUCGGGCACGUGUUAGUGUAAGGGUUAGGUUUGGGGAACGUGGAUGGUUUAGAUCACAGUUUAGAGUACAACAACGGGUUAGGGUAUG